rnacentral:rRNA from 1 species
UACAUGAUUUCCCUAGUAACGGCGAGUGAAGAGGAAAGAGCUCAAAGUUGGAACCUGUUUGGCUUAGCUAAACCGGAUUGUAAACUGUAGAAACAUUUUCCAGGCACGCUAGACAAAAAAAGUCCUUUGGAACAGGGCAUCAUAGAGGGUGAGAAUCCCGUCUUAAUCUAAGUAGUUGUCUAUUUGUGAUAUGUUUUCAAAGAGUCAGGUUGUUUGGGAAUGCAGCCUAAAUUGGGUGGUAAAUCUCACCUAAAGCUAAAUAUUUGCGAGAGACCGAUAGCGAACAAGUACCGUGAGGGAAAGAUGAAAAGAACUUUGAAAAGAGAGUUAAACAGUAUGUGAAAUUGUUAAAAGGGAACCGUUUGGAGCCAGACUGGCUUGACUGUAAUCAUCCUACUUUUUUUGUGGGUGCACUUGCGGUCUUUGCCUGCCAACAACAGUUUGAUUUGGAGGAAAAAAAUAUUUGGAAUGUGGCCUUUUUCGGAAGGUGUUAUAGCCUUUUAUAUCAUACUCUGGAUUGGACUGAGGAUCGCAGUUAUUGUUUCCGCUUGUUUUUCUUUUGCUGAUAAAUGUUAAAAUUUCUGCUUAGGGUGGUGUUAAUGUUUAAAGGUAAAACUAGGAUGAGUAUUGUGAUAACUUAGGUUGUUGGCUUAAUGACUCUAAAUGACCCGUCUUGAAACACGGACCAAGGAGUCCACCAUAAGUGCAAGUAUUUGGGUGCCAAACUCAUAUGCGUAAGGAAACUGAUUGAUACGAAUAGCUUCGGCGUGCAGUAUCACCCGGCAUAGACGUUUUUAACUGAAAUGACCGAGGUUAAGCACUUAUGAUGGGACCCGAAAGAUGGUGAACUAUGCCUGAAUAGGGUGAAGCCGGAGGAAACUCCGGUGGAGGCUCGUAGCGAUUCUGACGUGCAAAUCGAUCGUCAAAUUUGGGUAUAGGGGCGAAAGACUAAUCG